rnacentral:rRNA from 1 species
AUGGGGUUGUUGCUGGUUCUCCAGGGAGCAUGUGCACGCCUUGUCAUCUUUAUAUCUCCACCUGUGCACCUUUUGUAGACCUUUCCAGGUCUAUGUUGCUUCAUUUGCCCCACCAAUGUAUGUCAAUAGAAUGUUUGUGAAUGCGAAAUAUAUACAACUUUCAGCAACGGAUCUCUUGGCUCUCGCAUCGAUGAAGAACGCAGCGAAAUGCGAUAAGUAAUGUGAAUUGCAGAAUUCAGUGAAUCAUCGAAUCUUUGAACGCACCUUGCGCUCCUUGGUAUUCCGAGGAGCAUGCCUGUUUGAGUGUCAUUAAUAUAUAUAUCAACCCUCUUUGUUGAGUGGUUUGGAUGUGGGGGUUGCUGGCCUCUUGAAAAGGUUCAGCUCCCCUGAAAUGCAUUAGCGGAACAACCCGUUCGUUCAUUGGUGUGAUAACUAUCUACGCUGUUGAACGUGAGGCGGUUCAGCUUCCUAACUGUCCUUGGACAAUUUUAUCAUUUUAUGUGACCUCAAAUCAGGUAGGACUACCCGCUGAACUUAAGCAUAUCAAUAAGCGGAGGAA